UCAGUGCCCUUACAAAACAGACCUCAGAGAGCUCUCUUGCUCCCCUCUGCCACAGUGAGAAGAUAGUCACCUAUGGACCAGAAAGCAGGCCCUCACCAAACUUCAAACCUGCCAGCCUGGAUCGUGGGAUUCCCACCUCCACAACUGGUGAAGAACACGAACACAGGGAGUUAGAGUCCCACAUGCUGAUAACUCCAUCAAGAGAGAAGAAAGAUUUUUCUCUUCCAGCUGCAGAAUGAGAACCUCCAGGGAAGGAGUAAUAAUAAAAUAGGUCCAGUCUGAGUCUUAAAAAAGGAAGCAAAUAUAAUAGCUCCAAACAUGAUUACAGAUGGAUUCUUUACCGCUGGGCCACCUAGGAAGCCCCAUGGGUAAACUGAAAAAUGAAACUCCUGGACUUGCAAACC